GGUGAAUGAGAAAGUGAGGAAAUCUCUCUAAAAUGCUUUUGAAAUUGAAAGAAGAGUGCCAGGGCUUAGGGAGACCGCUCAGGCGAAAUGCAAAGAAGGGUUUCAAAGUGAAAAAUGUGAAAAACCGCUUAGCUUUUAAGCAAAGCCCAACCCAUCAGUGCCGCAACCGCUCAACGGUUUGCGCCUGAUUUCUCUUCUUCCUCUUUUGCUUUCUUUUGAGUAAUCUUCCCUUCUAGCACUUAAUUUCAACCUUCAAUUUUCAAAUAUAUAUCUUUCCCCUCUCAGAUGCAAUCAUUAACAUGUGUUGAAAAAUUGGCAAGUGUACCAAAUCGUACAAGUAAGAUAAAUGGUAAGACCAAGUAUCGUUUUUCCCAAGAGACUCGUAUGGCUUUCUCGUUCGCGUGAAUUAAAAUAAUAAGACUUGAAAAAAUAAAAAUUAAUAAAUUGGUUUUGAGACAAAAUAUAUUAACAUGCAAAGAUAAAGUUGAUUCAAUUGACAAACGAAAACAAUGGAGGAAUGGAUGUUGUUGGGUACUAACAAUUUCAUCUAUUCCGCUCUCUCUUACAUACUACCCUUGAAUAUUAGAUUGAUUCAAUUGUUAUGCGACUUUCUUAGCCUCCCCUUAACCCAAUCCCUCGGUGAAAAGGGCCUAAUAUUAACAACUGGCUUGCUAUCCCUAGCCUCCCCUAGUAAUUAAUACCGCAUUAUAAAUAGAAGUUAACGCAAUUGAUCGUCCUACCCCUAUCCCUAGGUGGUAUUGCAAAAUCAAGAGAUUACUCACCAGUUCAUCUCAUUAUUGUACGUCCCCAUAUCAAUAACGACAAACAUCAAUAUACCGAAUGAGUUAAACGAUAAAGGCCUUAAGCACAGAUGAUAACCCAACAAUAAUCAAUC
rnacentral:lncRNA from 1 species